UGGAGGCAGCAGUGGGGAAUUUUGCGCAAUGGGCGAAAGCCUGACGCAGCAACGCCGCGUGGAGGAUGAAGGCCUUCGGGUCGUAAACUCCUGUCGAUGGGGACGAAAGCCUCGCAAGAGGUGUGACUGUACCCGUUGAGGAAGCCACGGCUAACUCCGUGCCAGCAGCCGCGGUAAUACGGAGGUGGCAAGCGUUGUUCGGAAUUACUGGGCGUAAAGGGCGCGUAGGCGGCGGAACAAGUCAGAUGUGAAAGCCCCGGGCUUAACUCGGGAAUUGCAUCUGAAACUGUUUUGCUUGAGUCCUGGAGGGGAUGGUGGAAUUCCCAGUGUAGCGGUGAAAUGCGUAGAUAUUGGGAGGAACACCUGCGGCGAAGGCGGCCAUCUGGACAGUGACUGACGCUGAGGCGCGAAAGCUAGGGGAGCGAACGGGAUUAGAUACCCCGGUAU
rnacentral:rRNA from 1 species